CCCAGUCCCUCCCAGUCCCUCCCAGUGCUCCCAGUGCCCCCAGUCCCAUGCUCCCAGUCCCUCCCAGUCCCUCCCAGUGCUCCCAGUGCCCCCAGUCCCAGUAUGUCCCAGUCUCCCCCAGUGCCCCCCAUCUCUCCCAGUACCUCCCAUCCAUCCCAGUCCCUCCCAGUCCCUCCCAGUGCUCCCAGUGCCCCCAGUCCCAGUAUGUCCCAGUCCCUCCCAGUCCCUCCCAGUGCUCCCAGUGCCCCCAGUCCCACUAUGUCCCAGUCUCCCCCUGUACCCCCAGUCCCUCCCAGUUUCCCCAUCCCUCCCAGUGCUCCCAGUUCCCCCAGUCCCAAUAUCCCAGUCCCUCCCAGUACCUCCCAGUGCCCCCAGUCCCAGUAUGUCCCAGUCUCCCCCAGUACCCCC
rnacentral:lncRNA from 1 species